rnacentral:lncRNA from 1 species
CGGAGUGUCUAUCUAUUCCAUGGAAAAUGGCUUUUGGGGUUACUUUUUAAGGUAUGUUUGGAUUGAAGUUUACAAUAUAGUUUUUAAUUACAUUAUUUUUUGCGAAAAUGUGUUUGCUCCUAUGAAUUUAUGUUUAGAUAACUUUUCACAUAUGUAUGAAUAACAAUCUGUAAUUUUUGUUGUUGUAUACAAAGUGAUAAACGCCAUUUAAAAU